rnacentral:rRNA from 1 species
AUUGAACGCUGGCGGCAGGCCUAACACAUGCAAGUCGAGCGGAUGAAGGGAGCUUGCUCCUGGAUUCAGCGGCGGACGGGUGAGUAAUGCCUAGGAAUCUGCCUGGUAGUGGGGGAUAACGUCCGGAAACGGGCGCUAAUACCGCAUACGUCCUGAGGGAGAAAGUGGGGGAUCUUCGGACCUCACGCUAUCAGAUGAGCCUAGGUCGGAUUAGCUAGUUGGUGGGGUAAAGGCCUACCAAGGCGACGAUCCGUAACUGGUCUGAGAGGAUGAUCAGCCACACUGGAACUGAGACACGGUCCAGACUCCUACGGGAGGCAGCAGUGGGGAAUAUUGGACAAUGGGCGAAAGCCUGAUCCAACCAUGCCGCGUGUGUGAAGAAGGUCUUCGGAUUGUAAAGCACUUUAAGUUGGGAGGAAGGGCAGUAGGUUAAUACCUUGCUGUUUUGACGUUACCAACAGAAUAAGCACCGGCUAACUUCGUG